AAGACUGUGAAACCAUCACGAGGUUAAAGCGAAUUAGACAAGUGGCUUUGUCAAGCGGAGUGCAGUGUCGGUAUCUUUCGGGGUAUCGGUCACGGUGCCUGUCUCACCCGAGCUGCGUAUUUAGUCGCCACGGCAUGACGUGAAUAAGUCUCGAGAGAGAACCUAUCCGGAAGUUAUAGCGUGAUAACGCGGGGCUAAGGCUCGUCCGGUUACAACGUUCCACGUGUUCAGCAGCGGCAUUACCGGACUUGUUCGGUGUUGUUGUUGUUGCGCCGUGGGAGGUUCGGGCAGUCUCCUGCUAUAAGCGUUUCCGGGGAUGGUCUAUGCCUUAGGUUUUGACUAUCGUUGCUGUUGGGUUUUGAGCUAGCACCAGCGCUUCCUAUUGGACGAGCGCAGCGGUCGUUUCUGCGGUGUCGUCGACACUUGCGAGCGCGGUCGGGAACUGGUGCGUCUAAUUUCUUUGCCCUUCUCGGAGGGCGGGAGAUAUUUAAAAAGGCUGUAUCAGGGACGACUGUGCGAUUAGUGUCGCGGCGAACGCUGAAGACGAUUUCUUAGAGGCCGUUUGCCGGAGACGCGUUUUUUAGUGCGCGGAAAAGCUCCGGCGGACGUAAAAUAGCGCCUUCGCUGCGUUUGGCAUUGAAGUGCCGGCUAUACGUCUAUUCGUCCCGUCUUGAAACACGGACCAAGGAGUCUAACAUGCGUGCGAGUCAAGGGGAAUUUAACACCCCACGGCGCAAGGAAAGUGAUUUUGCUUUACGCGGGC
rnacentral:rRNA from 1 species